rnacentral:rRNA from 1 species
GGAAUUUUGCGCAAUGGGCGAAAGCCUGACGCAGCAACGCCGCGUGGAGGAUGAAGGUCUUCGGAUCGUAAACUCCUGUCAGGGGGGACGAAAGCCUUAACCGGUUUGACUGUACCCCCUGAGGAAGCCACGGCUAACUCCGUGCCAGCAGCCGCGGUAAUACGGAGGUGGCAAGCGUUGUUCGGAAUUACUGGGCGUAAAGGGCGCGUAGGCGGCAUGGCAAGUCAGAUGUGAAAGCCCCGGGCUUAACUCGGGAAUUGCAUCUGAAACUGCUUUGCUUGAGUCCUGGAGGGGGUAGUGGAAUUCCCAGUGUAGCGGUGAAAUGCGUAGAUAUUGGGAGGAACACCGGUGGCGAAGGCGGCUACCUGGACAGUGACUGACGCUGAUGCGCGAAAGCUAGGGGAGCAAACGGGAUUAGA